AGGACCUAUUAGCAAACGUAGUGGCAGCUGCGUGCUGCAGCUCCCUGGAUUAUUCCUGACGCCAGCACAGCGAAGGGACUGUGGGGAGCGUUGCACCAGCCUCCUACAGGAGCGUGUCUGCUGGGCACGUUUGCAGGAGAGAGAGCUUCACGGGCUGUUACUUUGAAAAAAGUUGGUACCGAUACUCUGCCUCGUAGGUCGCCGUAGAGGAAAUAUCCAGGAUGUUGUCUUCUUUCUGCCUCCCAAAAUACCAUAUGUUCAUGCUUUUGCAAGGAAGAAAUACACAGAAAACUAAAACCAGGGUUAGCAAGUUUUACUUGUUUUUUAAUUGGCUUUGUGCUCUUCGUGGCGUAUCAGAGUCACUUUCCCAGGUCAUUCAAUCUUCCCCUGACUGUGAGUAAUGGAAUAUUCUAAGUUUAGCAAUGCUCAUUCUUGAACUUUUGGGUUAAUUCCAAACUCACUAUUAUAAAUCACACUUUGAGGAACAAGCUCAUGCAUUAAAUCUCUCCGCGGGUUUCUUGGAGAUACAUUUUUAAAAGUAAUGACAGGUCAAAGCUCUUCGAGUAUUUUUAAAGACUCUGCUAAGCGCCGUCAGGUGCAGGCCGGCACCGACUGUGCGACAGAGGAGAACGGGUCAUCUGUGGCCUGUCCUGGGCAGGAGCAGCCUCGAUGCAACCCGGCCUGCGGGGCGCCGGCCACGCUCCUGGCCACCAGGUGUCAGCGCAAGGCAGGGCGACCGGGCCAGGCCGGCCGGGCCACCCCGGUCCCCUCGGCCACGUCCCCCUGGGCGCCUGCAGUGACCCGGGUCCAGGGCUGACCGUCGGCUCUGCUUUAGGGCCCCCCAAACUGUUCCACGGCCUCUGCGGGCGACCCUGGUCUGGGGAGGAUCGGCCGGCGACAAAGCCCUCGCAUGUGCUCGUUCGGCAGCCACAGCGACACAGAGUCCCCCGGAGACAAGUGGGUGUCCCCCGGGAGCUGAGCAAGGCCAGCAUCGGCGUGGAGGUCACGAGGGGACAGACCCGGAGACCCAGUCGCAGCUCCCGAAAGCCAGGGCCCGGGCGUGGAGCAGAGUCUUCCUCGCUCCCCUCCGAGGCAACCAGCCCCGGGACACCGACCGUGGGCCCCUCGCCCCCAGGACCGCCAGACAUGACAUAUUUGCAGCGGAAUGGACAUUAG
rnacentral:lncRNA from 1 species